CCAGAAUAAGAUCACAAACCUGGCCUGCCGAGGGAGGCACCCAUUGGAUAGACUCAGAGAAGGAAGAAUUAAGCUAUCACUGGAAAGGUUGACUUCAAGAACACACCCCUUUAGCUUUGAUGCAGAAAAUCAGGAAGAUGUUAUUACCAUCACAUCUUCCUCUGAAGGAACUCUAGAGAACUGCUGCAGAAAUAGUUUCUACCCUGAGAAACUGCCUCAGCACCAGGAAAACGCCUCCUUGACUUUCAUCUUCUAGACCUCUGCUGCCCAACACAGCAGCCACUAAUCACAUGUGGCUACUGAGUACUGGAAAUAGGACUAAUCCAAAUGGAGACAUGCUCUAAGUUUAAAAUACCACAAGAUUUCAAAGACAUAAUGGGGAAAAAGAAAGAAAGAAGACGGAGUCUCGCGCUAUCGCCCAGUCUGGAGUCCAACGGCACAAUCCUGGCUCACUGCAACCUCCGCCUCCAGGGUUCAAGCAGUUCUCCUGCCUCAGCCACCAAACUUUUGUGUACAAGACUACACUGAACUCUGGCAAGCCAUUCUUCCGUAACAUUGUAUCCGAAGAUGUAUCACCUGAAUUCCGUGUCUUUGGAAGCUUUCAGGGAUACAAGUUUGCUUAUACAUUUGUCCAUGUUGCUGCAGAAACACUGUUCCAUAUGGUUACCUAAGGUGUUUUCCCCCAAUAAUAUGUAUUAUCUUUGAUUCUGAUUCAAAAUAAUGCAUUUACUAAAGUCCUGACUUAGCUGCAAUAUUCCUAAAACAUUUGUGCUGAGAGAAAAAAAUGUUUUGCCUUGUAAAAUUUCUAAAAUGUUUUUGCUGAGAGAAAAAAAUUAAAUAUUUUGGUUCUUAAAUAGGACAUAGACUUUUCUCAAAUUAACAACAACAAAAAGCAUUCUAGGCUAUGGUGUCUGUCAGAGAUGCAUGGAGCUGUGCUCCUGUCUCCUGGAAGGCCUGGGUAGAAUUCCCCUAGCUGCUAUAAAUAUUUCAGAGAUCCUGGCAGCUAAAAUAUCUCUAAGUUAGAUGGGACUGAUGAUCGCUUUUAGCCAGGUUAAAACAGUACACACUUAAUCAUAGUCCUUGUCUUCAUCAUAAAGAUAACACUAAAAACCAGGAAUUAUAAUAGUAAUAAUAAAAUAUCAACUACUAUUUAUUAAGUACUUAGAUACUGCUAUAUCUCAUUUAAUCUAUGUAACAGCAUUAUGCGGUAGGCACCAAAGUUUUCCCAUUUUUUAGAUAGGAGAGCUAAUAUUUAUAGAGGUUGAGUAAUAGCCCUCAUCAUAUAGCUAAAAACAGUUGAAUCAUGAGCAAAUGUUGUCCAUUGUUAAGCCUGCACUCCUCACCACCACCCUGUUCCUUGCCAUCUAAAGGUUUCAGUUUAGUCCAAAAUUACUCAGAACAAAUAUCUGGGUAAGUGAGAGGAGAUACACUGCAAGUUUUCAGUAUCUCCUCUGUGCAUGAGAGCUCAGGAGCAGGUUUUUAUUCCUAAAUAUAACUUAAAGUAGAGCUUUUGAAGAGCAGGAAGGAAGAAAUUAUCGUUUGCAACGAAGCUGUUACAAUACGACCACCUUAAAACUAAUUUUCUGAUGCCGUGUGUGUGUAUAUGAGUGUGUGUAUGUGAGCGUGUGUGUGUGUGUGUGUGUGUGUGUAGGAUACUCAACGAACAAUCAACCUCAGAAAUUUGGCUCUGAUCCAUCCUGGGCUGCCAAUAGAGACCUGGCCGGAAAAUGAACUCCAUUAAUUAGAGUGCAGAGUCAAACAUGGUUUUAUUCAUUGGGCCAGACACAAGUCAGAAAACAGGCUUGAUGUUUUUCACAUUAAAGAAAAAGGAUGCACAGAAGUUACAUUAUUAGGAAAUUUUUAAAAUUUGAUUGAGAAAUGUUUCAAAAAUGUCUAUGUAGGAAGGAAAGUAUUUUUCAAGCAAUGCGUAUAUAAAAUUAAUUAAAAUAUAAUACAAAUAAAUCUUUCUAUUUUAAUUAGCUGGAAUCCAGUGUAAAUUUUUUAAAAGGCAAUAAUGGGAGGCAGAAGGGCUUGCAUGCUAGGAAGAGGAUACAAUGGGGUGUCAACAAAAGAACAGAGCGUUCUGAAUAGGACUUAAGAUUGAAGUGAGGGAGUCAAGUGCUUCUCUAGCAUUCAGGAGCAGGAACUGGGCUAGAUGAAGGCCUGAAAAUACUAAAUGUGAAUACUCACCCCAAACUAAUUUUCAACAUAUUCAUCAAAUAUUUUAUGUUUCCAAAAAUAAAACUUUUUAAUUUUUUUUGAAAUAGCAAAUAUCAAAUUUUAAAAAUGGUACCCGUGCUUUGCUCUUGCUCCUGGCAUAGCACAGUUUACUUAUUGGGUAAUCCUGGAUAGUGCGGCACUAGGAAAGGGAACUCGGAGGUGCAGAAGGUGCUGGAGACCAGCAUGAACGCUGUAAGUGGCGCAGACAUCAUGCUAACAAGAGUGGAGCUUUCCCAUAAUAGAGGUGUAUUGCUUCUGGGAGAAAAAGUGAACUAAUUGGUUCCGAGUUGAAUGGUUCUAACAGAGAAGGUGUUUAGUCCUGGUUUGCAGUGAGGCAUAUGCUAUGUGAGAUGUGGAAGACUGUGUUUCUUUAUCUAAGUAGUUCUGAGAAUGAUAACAGGAAGUCAAACCGUGAUCCAAAAGGUAUAUUUUGAAUUCCUCUAUCCCAUCAAUAAUAACUUUCAUUUUUUCUUUCACAUUUAUCGUGGCUCUCAUUUUCCAACCUUAUUUGUUUAGAGGAGGCUUAGUAAGCCUAAACCAAGGCAUUUGAACACAUACACACUAUUUCACUAUCACUCACACUUGAAAAAAUACAGAGGAGAAAACCUAUUAGGUUAGUUGUAUAGCAUUUUCAAUAUGGUUAUUGUUACCAUUAUUGAUUUUUCAUUAUAAACCUUUACACAAAUAAAAAGAGGUAUGAAUUUUACAGGGGUCUUGAUCCAAUGGACACACAUGGUAUUAUGAGUUUAGUUUCUCUUAGAAUGGUAACUAACCAGAAAUGUAAUCUACAAAAUUGUCAAUAAAAUAUUUAACAUUACAUGUUCUCCCAUAGUGAGAAAUCAGACAAUCUUUUUCUGUCCUUCAGACAAUUGAGUUUAGAAUAAAAACAGUCAAGACAGCAAAAAUGUCACUUUCCAUGAGGGCAUUUAUUAUUCCUUGACAGUGAUGGAAGUGUAUUCAGAGAUCUAGAGUGCCCUUGUGUGACAUUAACCUGCUGAUGAUCCAUUCCAUUCACCUAAGCUGAAUUAAUAGUCAGAAAAAAAAACUCAGGUAAAUAUUAGCAGAGGAGGCUUUCUUAUUCUUUUUAUUUUUUUAUUUUUUUGGUGGGGAGUAGAGAUGGGGAGGAGCCAACAUUUUGUGAAAUAUCCAUUUAACAGAGAAACCUCCUACAUAGGAUCUGAAUCUAUUUUUAGUGCUUUCUUGCUCACGAUUUUACAAAGAAUGAGCAAUAGGCCAAUAUAAGCCCGUGUAUUUAGAAUCUAUUUCAUUUGGAAAGAGAGGUAAGCUACGACAUCGGGUUACCAGGUACUUUGCCGGCUUUACAUUUGCUUAUGUUUGUCCCUCCUGGCAGUUGCUUACACUGAUUAGGUGCAUUAAUUCAAGGGCAAAAUUUCUUAGUCACAAAGAAAAUUGCAUUAGUGCCCAAUGACUAUGGGAUCAUUCAGAAAAAUAACCUGAGGAUUUAUGCAGCACCAAGUUAGCUGGAUGUUUGGCAUUGAUUUUUUUAAUACUAGAUACGAUUGUAUUUUCUUAAAGAUUGAAGAAUACUUCUCCAGCCUACAUUUACUAGGUAACAAUUUCAUGAGUCUUUUGUAUUAUGUUUUUCUCCAUAUAGGAAAAAAAUGAAUAUCAGUUUUUAGAUUAGACAGGCAAGAGGAAACACUUGAACAUACCCUGUGUAUACCAGGAAUUGCACAAGAUGCUUCCCAUAAUUUACUUGAUUUAGUUCUCAGAAAAGCAACGUGUAAGCAUUAUAAUCUUCAUUUUGUGGUUAAAUAAACUAAGAGUUACAGAGAAGGUUAUUUGCACACAGUGUUUUAAAUUCAAAGAGCUUCUGUUAGAAUUUAUUAUGAUGGAUUUUAAAAGUCCUGCAUAUCAUGCCGUAUUGUACAAUCCCACGGAAACAACUGUUUGCUGCUCAUAGGCACAUGAGACACUAUAGUUGUGAUUCAAUAGUACAAGCAUUCAGUAUGUGAAUGACGUUUUUCUGCCUUCUAAUCCUAGAUGUGAGCUAAAUAUGAUUGAGUGUCUUUGGUUAUAUGGGAAUUUAAAUAAUACUAAUUUGAUGUCAUUGUUAUUGCUGCAUUUUAUAAUAUUGUUAGACAUAUAAACAGAACUGAAAUGUCACUGCAAUACUAUUUUUUUGUCAUUGCUCAGUUCUCCAUUGACUUUAUCAUAUAAAUUAAACUUUGGAUUCCUCUAAGAUAUUUUUUCUUGUCUAAUACCUCUUGUGAUUUUUUUCUCUCUUUUUAAGGCAGUGUAACUAUACCUACUUUUGAAUAUACUGUUAUGCCAGCUCCUUCUAGAAACUAGUCUCACAGAGUCAAUAAUUUCACACUGAAGUAACCCAACAAAAUGUUUGAUAAUACACAAAUAUAC
rnacentral:lncRNA from 10 species